CGCUGGCGGCACGCCUAACACAUGCAAGUCGAACGCAGCUCAGUCAAUACUGAGUGGCAGCACGGGUGAGUACUAAUGUGGGAAUCUGCCUUUUGGUUNGGAAUAACACUGGGGAAAACUUGUGCUAAUACCGAAUAAGCCCUUACGGGGAAAGUUUUAACGCCGAAAGAUGAGCCUGCACUUGAUUAGCUAGUUGGUAAGGUAAAAGCUUACCAAGGCGACGAUCAAUAGCGUGUUCUUAGAGGAAGACCAGCCACAUUGGGACUGAGACACGGCCCAGACUCCUACGGGAGGCAGCAGUGGGGAAUCUUGCACAAUGGGGGAAACCCUGAUGCAGCGAUGCCGCGUGAGUGAAGAAGGCCCUUGGGUUGUAAAACUCUUUCGUCGGGGAAGAAAAUGACUGUACCCGAAUAAGAAGGUCCGGCUAACUUCGUGCCAGCAGCCGCGGUAAUACGAAGGGACCUAGCGUAGUUCGGAAUUACUGGGCUUAAAGAGCUCGUAGGUGGUUAAAAAAGUUGAUGGUGAAAUCCCAAGGCUCAACCU
rnacentral:rRNA from 1 species